rnacentral:rRNA from 1 species
AUUGAACGCUGGCGGCAUGCUUUACACAUGCAAGUCGAACGGCAGCAUAGGUGCUUGCACCUGAUGGCGAGUGGCGAACGGGUGAGUAAUAUAUCGGAACAUGUCCGGAAGUGGGGGAUAACGUAGCGAAAGUUACGCUCAUACCGCAUAUGCCCUGAGGGGGAAAGGAGCGGAUCGCAAGACCUUUCGCUUUCGGAGUGGCCGAUAUCGGAUUAGCUAGUAGGUGAGGUAAAGGCUCACCUAGGCGACGAUACGUAGCUUGUCUGAGAGGACGACCAGCCACACUGGGACUGAGACACGGCCCAGACUCAUACGGGAGGCAGCAGUGGGGAAUUUUGUACAAUGGGCGCAAGCCUGAUCCAGCCAUGCCGCGUGAGUGAAGAAGGCCUUCGGGUUGUAAAGCUCUUUCAGCCGGAAAGAAAUCGUACUUAUUAAUACUAAGUGCGGAUGACGGUACCGGAAGAAGAAGCACCGGCUAACUACGUGCCAGCCGCCGCGGUAACAC